rnacentral:rRNA from 1 species
CCUACGGGAGGUAGCAGUGAGGAAUAUUGGUCAAUGGGCGCGAGCCUGAACCAGCCACGUCGCGUGAAGGAUGACUGCCCUCCGGGUUGUAAACUCCUUUUAUAAAGGAAUAAAGUGAGGCACGUGUGCCUUUUUGUAUGUACUUUAUGAAUAAGGAUCGGCUAACUCCGUGCCAGCAGCCGCGGUAAUACGGAGGAUCCGAGCGUUAUCCGGAUUUAUUGGGUGUAAAGGGUGCGUAGGUGGGUUGGUAAGUCAGUUGUGAAAGUUUGCGGCUCAACCGUAAAAUUGCAAUUGAUACUGGCGGUCUUGAGUAAAGUUGAGGUAGGCGGAAUUCGUGGUGUAGCGGUGAAAUGCGUAGAUAUCACGAAGAACUCCGAUUGCGAAGGCAGCUUACUAAACUGCAACUGACACUGAGGCUCGAAAGUGUGGGUAUCAAACAGGAUUAGAUACCCCGGUAGUC